rnacentral:rRNA from 1 species
GUGAGGAAUUUUGCGCAAUGGGGGCAACCCUGACGCAGCGACGCCGCGUGGAGGACGAAGUCUUUCGGGAUGUAAACUCCUGUCAGUGGGGACGAUAAUGACGGUACCCACAGAGGAAGCACCGGCUAACUCCGUGCCAGCAGCCGCGGUAAGACGGAGGGUGCAAGCGUUGUUCGGAAUUACUGGGCGUAAAGCGUAUGUAGGCGGCAAGUUAAGUUCAAUGUUAAAGCCCACGGCUCAACCGAGGAGAUGCAUUGAAUACUGGCUAGCUAGAGGGUGUUAGAGGAAGACGGAAUUCCCAGUGUAGCGGUGAAAUGCGUAGAUAUUGGGAGGAACAUCGGUAGCGAAAGCGGUCUUCUGGGACAUACCUGACGCUGAGGUACGAAAGCGUGGGGAGCAAACGGGAUUAGAUACCCUGGUAGUCC